CCUAUGGCUGGGUCUAAACUCUUUCACUCAUUCCUAACCUCUUGUGUUAAUUAUUGCCAUGAUAGUGGCUGCUUUGGUAACAUUCUUGACCUGUAAUGAUGAGCGCUCUUGGAGGUAGGCAAAAGGACUUGACAGUGUUGAAAAUGAGUGGAGAAAUGUAUUUUCAUGGCCACCUCCUGAAGAUCUGACCACAGCUGCAGAUGCAGGACAGAAGAAACCUAAGAAACUUUUAUCUCAUUAUUAUGUAAUCUGAAUGCUGCCUCCAGAAAGCAGAACACCGGAGCUGGUGCUGAAGAGCUGUCCCAGGAGCCAGCCAACCCACUUGGAGCGUAUGUGUCCUCGUGUCUCCUCUCAGCUGCUGUCAGCAUCUCCAGAGCCCUAAGAGAAAGGUGAUGUGGCAAAGAACAGGAAAAAUGAGGGCUCCUUUUUCAAAAUCCAGUUUGAUCUUCAGAGAUAUCAGUGACAAAAUAAUAACAGCAUCUUCCAAUUUGUUUACUAAAUUAAUAUUAUAUAGAUACCGUUGUGCAGUGCCAGCUUUUUGUCCUGAGUUGGUCUUCAGUGAAUAAGGAGAAUUCUCAGAAGUCCAACCAGAGGACUUGUGCUUUGAUAAUCUGGUCUGCUGUGUUCCCCAUCUCUCCUUCCCUCUGUAAUCAGACCAUCGGUCACUACAAAGGAUCAAAAUUGCCAUGUUUAAAUACUACUCUCCUUGUGAGAAACUAACAUAUGAUCAAAGCUUAACAGCAUGAAAUGCAUUUCUUGUUUUUGCAGUAAACCUUCACGUCCCUUGUUGUUGAUCCAAGUUCAUGGAGGUUUAUUUUCAAAGCAAAUCUCUUGUUUUCGUUCCACCAGAGAGCUGUUACAAAGCCAACUAUUGUUACUGUAGAAUAUAACUAUAUUUUUUUUAGUCUAACUGUUCAAGGAAAAUGCCUUUCAUCAGGUAAAAAGUCAUUGCAUAUAUGCAUUAUGCAGACAUGUCUUGGACACAACAAACAGUUAAUGGUUUUUAAUUAAAUGGAGUGAGACAAAGCACUCAAGGAGUGACCCAAGGAUUACUUUUGGAAGAAGUUUCUCUCAUGACUAAUAGUGCCUACAAAUAAGAUGGGGUAUUACAAUAAAAUUCUACUGCUGACAAAAAUAUUAACAGUAAACGAUGACAGAGCUUUCAUCUGGGACUAGGAGAACAUCUGGAAUGUAUUAAGACUGUAAAAUUUCCCUUUAAGUAUGGAUUGCUAAAGUUAAAACCAGCCACCCAGAAACUAUGGCACUCAGAGUAACUCAAUAUUUUUUUUCAUUAAAAAUUACUUAAAGUGAUUUACAUCUUUCCUUGGUUGACACUGUGAUGUUCUGCUUGUCCAGACUGUGAGCCAUGAAAAUAUGUAUGUGAUGAGAAAGAAUGAAGAAAAAAGUUCUCAGAUCUGUCCUGUGUUCAUCUGGAAAGCAACUCUGGUUCCAGGCAUCCUUCUGUAAGGCAAUCAGUCAGAUGCUCUUUGCAACCAUUCUGUGCAGAUACCCACUGCUUAUUAAUACCAUGUGUGAAGCUGAUGCAUCACGUAUCUAGAGAUGCAGUGUAAGCACCAGAUACUGACAGAGAUAAACAGAAGAGAUGUGGGGGGUGCUGGGAGAUCAUUCUAGAAGACAAGUAAGUUUGCCUUAAACAAAAAGGCAGUGUGCUAAAAGAAGGACGAGAUUGUAGCAAGGUUCCUAUUUCCCAUCCUCCUUCUUCCCUGUUGCCAGUUCUCGUGACAUCUCUCACUGCAAUCCUGUCUUAAUUUAGACUGAGUUCCCGGAGACAGAAAUUAUCCUGUAACUUGUAUAUAUUGCAUGCAGUACAAGAAGUGCUCAUCUCAACUGGAUACUCAGAUGGUGCCUAGGAGGCAGCUACAGCAUAAAAAUGGAAGCUGAAUGUCUUUGUGGCUCAACUCCAGAGGUGCUAUUGUUUUUGGCCACAGUGGAAGCUCCCAGAAGGCAAGCCAAGGUCUGUAGAACAAACUAAGGGAGGAGGGCUGGGUGCUGCCCUUCCUGUCCUUGGCAAACUGGACUGAAGCCCUCAAAGCCCCUCUAAGCCAGAUUCCUUCCACCUCCCAGGAGGCUCCAGGUCAUGAAGAUUCAGCACUGAUGGUCCAAGCUGCCUCUGCUGGGAAAGAGAUAGAGAGAGGACUCGAGGAAUCACCCACCUCUCCUAAGAGAAGAGUGCAAAUCAUCUUCAGAAGUGUCCAUUCUUUCUGCACUUGCACUAAUAGUAAUGGGAAUACUUGAGAAGGACUAGUUACUAAUCACUUUCAACAACUAGUGUAAGGCAAGAUACAGCCCUUCACUGUGUUGAGAAAUCAGCCCUGCCAAAGAGCUUUCCACCCCUACCCAUCCCACCCUGAGAAGCUUCCUGGCAGUUCCUGGAGGACACUCAGAGCUAUGCAUGCAGCAGACAGCCCCCUGCUGCUGUUGGCACAGCAGUGGUGGGUCCUGGUCCCCCUCAGCGCUGUGCAUCCUGUGGUGUAAGACAUGCACAAAUGCAGAACAGAAAGACAGGCCAGAAUAGUGAGCCAGCUCACUAGGUGGCCUUGGUAAGUGUCUGAUGCCUCAGCUGAGUAUGUAUUUAUUUCUACUUACACAUGUUUUGCUUAGAAUAGGGCAGGGGACCUGGACAUCUCUGCCAUCGGUCACAAAGCUGCAACGUUUAGGAAGAAGAGAUAAAUCUUCUCUCUCUCUCUCUUCCUACCAUCCUUCAGCUCUUUCCUCUAACCAGGCAUUUGUGUGGCUGAAAAACUAAAAGUAGCUGCAGACAUAGGACUUUUUCAGAAGUUCUGCAAGGAGCAGGCAUAUAUCCACUGAGAUCCUCACAGACCUGCAGCAUGCAGCAUCCGAACUCUGAUGAGAUAGUGGAUACUUCUGUGGCGUUUAAGAGGGAAUUUCAAAAUGCCAGCCUGUAGUGUUGAGAAGACAACGUAAUGUGGACACUUGAAGAUCUGAACUUCUUGACCUGCCCCACAACUCAUCUUCCCAAGGAGCUGUUGAACAUUAACAAAAAAAAUAAUAUAGAACGAAGAGAAAAUCUAAUUCUGGAAAAAUUCUGCAAGGCCAAUACAGACAUAUUUUGUGCUGAGCACCGAUACUCAUCCAUUUUUGGGCAUGGUAGUAAUAGGGUGGCAUGCGUUAUGCAGGAGGCAAAGUAGGGGCUGGAAUAAGCUGCUUAUGUCCUCAAAUUUUUCCUCCUAUCAGUAAGACAUUGCUCCUAAAGGCAAUGAAGGAAACCUGCCAAUUACAACAGCUAAAACCAACACCCUGAAAAGCAUAAUAUUUAGAGAACGAUCUGUGUGGUGGAGCCAGCUAGUGCCAGCUGCCAAGUCUGCAGCCGCAAGAGGCUGGAGCAGCGGGAGGUCUCCAGGAGAGCAGGCCUUGGUGGCUCAGCCCAGGGCAGCCCUCUGUUAUGAGCUGGGCACCGAGCAGAGCAGCUGCGCACCCAAGGGCCCAGACUGCCAGCCCCACAUCUCAUGGAGCUUAGCAAGACCCUGUCACUGGACAGGCCUUCUCGCAGGGUGGCAGCUCCUUCUGGUGCUACAGCAGUGACACAGUUUGCUGUACCUCAGCAAAACAGGACUUGCUUGUUUCUUUCCCAAUCCAGAGAGUCAUAAAACAGCUUUAACUAACCCCACAGCAAGUAAUUCCUAAGAGGUCUCCUGAAUUUCUCUGUAUGGCCCAUUCUCCCCAUUUGCUCCUGGCCGCCAUUGCAAUUGCCACAGGCCCCUCUUCUUGCAGCUGUUCUGCACGCUGCCUGCUGUCCGUUGCCGGCAUUUUCCUCUCCAUGCCAGGACAGCGCUGCGGCUCACUGUAACAAUAUUUCCUCAUAAGGCUUUGCUUAAAAUUACAGAGCUUCUAUUUGUUGGUGCUGGGUGGUGGCAUGUGAGGCUGUACAAAAGAAAACAAAUGUUUGAGAUGCUUUUGAAGGUGCUGUCAUGAGACAAAGCAGGGCACUUGGGCCUGACAUUAAUACAUUUCCUUGUGCUUGGAUAGAGCAGAGCCUGUUCAGUCUCUGCAACAAUCCUCCCCUGGGAAGUUUCCAUAGCCUCUCCUCCUGCUCUGCUGGCCUCCAGGGCUGUGCUCCUUGAGGAGAGAGCUGGCAGCUCGCCCUCACCUUGCCAAGAGGCUGACUGGCCACUGGCACCUUGCAAAAGCAAUUCCUUCAGCCCUGUUUGUCAUGCAGGUGAGACAGCUGGGAAUGCCAAGAGGACCAGGAAGCAGAGGAAGGGGUGAGGAAUCAGCCCCUGCAUCUAAUUCAGCUUGCUUUCUCCUUAUCCAGCCUGGUUUGGAAGCAGAACUUAAAAUCUGUUUGUUUAGGAGGUUUGUUAUAGUUUUGGAAGCUUACACUAGAGUUACACAGAGCAGCAGGGCAGAGGGUAAAACAAUAUUUUAUUCUGAAGUUAAAGCACUUUCACAAGGGUAAAAUAAGUAGGUUGUGCUGGCUGGGACUCAUUCAAGUGCAGUGUCCUGUGCUGCAGGAGCUGAGACCUUCCUCAGUCCUGCUCUAAAUGUGGGCACACUGCACCCAUGGGUGAUAGAAUCCCUGGGGCUCUUCUCUGCUUAUCAUUUGGGAUCCCUUGUGAUUGCUUCUGGAAAGAAAGGGAUUAAUUUAAUGGCCAGCCAAAUUUGGGCAUAGUGUCUGUAUUAAAGUCCUCAGAAUACAAAACUUUCUAUCUUGACCUAAGAAAUUUACUACUAUCCAUCAGCAAUCCCUGGAAAGAUUAUGCCUUCUGGUACCUUCAGGUGGCUGAUCAGCUGAUUAAAUGUGGUGAAAUACUGGCAUCUGUGGGUAUGACACCGGUAACAGAGCAGUACCCAGGUAUUUAGGCAGAGACAUCUUUCAAAGUUGGAAAUGUUUGCUAGUUUUGUGACCGACUGUGCUCUUCUUCUUGGAAAUAAGAAAAACUCCCCCGGAGUUUUAGUUGUGGUGUUGAAAUUUCUUGUUUAACUUUCUUGUUUUUCCCUUCUGAAACUUCCAUACUAAUUCCCCAUGGAAAUAAGAUGUGCAAAGGAAAUUUAUUUGGAGGAAAUUCAUAGGCAAGUGAGGUCCCAGGAGGUGCAAAGACUUGUCCUAAGCCCUGCAGGAAGCUAGCUGCACACUGUAGAA